rnacentral:rRNA from 1 species
AACGAACGCUGGCGGCAGGCCUAACACAUGCAAGUCGAACGGUUCCUUCGGGGACAGUGGCAGACGGGCGAGUAACGCGUGGGAAUCUACCUUGUGGUACGGAACAACCAAGGGAAACUUUGGCUAAUACCGUAUGAGCCCUUCGGGGGAAAGAUUUAUCGCCAUAAGAUGAGCCCGCGUAGGAUUAGCUAGUUGGUGAGGUAAAGGCGCACCAAGGCGACGAUCCUUAGCUGGUCUGAGAGGAUGACCAGCCACACUGGGACUGAGACACGGCCCAGACUCCUACGGGAGGCAGCAGCGGGGAAUAUUGGACAAUGGGCGCAAGCCUGAUCCAGCCAUGCCGCGUGUGUGAUGACGGCCUUAGGGUUGUAAAGCACUUUCGCCGAUGAAGAUAAUGACUGUAGUCGGAGAAGAAGCCCCGGCUAACUUCGUGCCAGCCGCCGCCGUAA